AUUGGAUGAAGGUGGUCAAAAAGCACGAACUUCCAGUUAUAAGAUAAGUAGGUACUGGGAAGGUAAUGUACAACAUGAUAAAUAUAAUUAGCCCUGCUUUAUAUCAUAUACGAAAAUUGUUGAGAAUAAAUUCCAAGUGUUUUCAUCACAAGGAAAAAACAUUUUUUUCCUUUAAUUUUGCAUCUAUAUGAGAUGAUAGAUGUUCACCAAACUUGUGAUAAUGAUUUCAUGGUGUACAUAAGUCAAAUCAUUAUGCUGUACACCUUGAACUCAUAUGGUGCUAUAUGUCAAUUGUAUUUCAGAAAAACUAGAAGAAGAAAAAAAAGACUCAGAGAGAAGGUAGCUUUUCCUCUCAAGCUCACCACGGCUUUCCCUUGUACACUGCUCAACAUAAGAGACCUGGACAGUUGGAGAAGGCUGACAAUUUAGUUGGCCACCUCUUUUCCUAGAAAUUAAAUUGUUCCUUCUUUCCAUUAACCCCAACCAGCAACAGGACUGGAGCAAGGAGCAACCUGGCCUCAGUGGGCAGCUACCAAAGUAGCCAGGGAGUUCCCGUCGUGGCGCAGUGGUUAACGAAUCCGACUAGGAACCAUGAGGUUGCGGGUUUGGUCCCUGCCCUUGCUCAGUGGGUUAACGAUCCGGCGAUGCCGUGAGCUGUGGUGUAGGUUGCAGACGUGGCUCGGAUCCCGCGUUGCUGUGGCUCUGGCGUAGGCCGGUGGCUGCAACUCGGAUUCAACCCCUAGCCUGGGAACCUCCAUAUGCCGUGGGAGCGGCCCAAAGAAAUAGCAAAAAAGACAAAAAAAAAAAAAAAAAAAAAAAAAGAAUUUCCUCAGAGAUUUGAGUAUGAUGAAGGUAAUGUUUCCUCUUGAAUGGCUCACCUUAUAACCCUUAGAAUAUGUUAAUGGCUAUGACUUUCAUCUUAUGGUCAUAAUAAGGGAAAAAAGUAGAAAGGAAGAGAAAAGGAUCAAGUGGAUAUUCAGCAAUGUGAAGCAUGGAUAGACAGAUCCCUGCUGGUUGAGAAGUUCCUCUUCUAAGUCGUCCCAAGACCCAUUAGCAUUCCUGUCCUGGGAUUCUAUGAGACACCCCAGCAUCAUUUUGAAUUAUUAAUAGUUAGUGAUUUCUUUCCUUAAGUUAAUGUGAAUUCAUUCAAAUUCUGUCCAGUUGGUGGUGGCUGGAGCCAAACAUAUAUUUGAUUGUAAGUUGAGCUUUUAAUAUUUCCUGUAACUGUUGGGGGUUUUUUGUUGAUGAAUUAUUAGAUACUCUGUCUUAAGAAUAGAUUAUUUUGGAGUUCCUGUUGUGGUUAAGCAGUAACAAACCCAACAAGUAUCCAUGAGGACAUGGGUUCAAUCCCUGGCCCUGCUCAGUGGGUUAAGGAUCCAGCAUUGCUGUGGCUGCAACUGUGGUGUAGGAUGGCAGCUACAGCUUUAAUUCAACCGCUAGCCUGGGAACUUCCAUAUGCUGCAGGUGUGGCCCUAAAAAGACAAAGACAAAAAAAAUUAUUAUUUUCUCUAAUGGCCCUACAGUCUACGAAUUGUACCAUGUUAUCCCCUUUGUACAGAUGAAUAACCUGAGGUUUAGACACUUUUUCUAACUCACCCUGAAUCAGACAGCUAAGUGGUGAGGCUGCUUUCUAAUAGAUUUCCCUUAGCUUGAUUCUAACUCUAAUCCGUUUAACCUUAGGGCCAUGCCUUUAGCCACUAUUUCCUAAGAUUAGCUAAGAUAUGAUUUGCUAGUAGGAAAUCUGAGAACAUGUACAAAAUACUGAUUUCACUAAUACUUUUCAAUUUUCCAGAAAAGGAAAUCAAUAUAAUUGUGGGUUAGGAAUAGCAAUGGGGAGGGGGAGGUUGUCAGUGUUUAAGGGAACAUGUUAUCAAAAUGUAUCUUAUGUCAUAUCUCUGUAAUUCUAAAAACUAGAGGCUUCAUGAAUUGCAAAGGAAAGGAAAUUAUGUAAGGGCUAGUCCGUCAUUUAGACGUGAAGACUGUGCCUCAUUUAGCUGGUAUUUACCACUGCCAGAGGUCAAAAGCUACCACUUCAAGCUUUAGUGGAUUCCCCCUCAAUGAAUUUCUGUCGGGCUAAAGGACUUUAUAACUCUUCUCAAGUCUAGCAAUGCUGCUUUCACAAGUAUUUUUAAUCAUAGACAUUCAGUCGGCCACAAACACAUUCCUGUACAAUUCCUUCACUGGUGCCUGGUGCCUUCUUGAGAGUGAACUGAACUGUUAACUUACUUCUAAAACAAAACAGAAUAGUUGAAAGGUCUAACUGUUUCCUAUCAGUAUAAAAAAUAUGAAUGUGUACAACAGCUGCAACUUGUUCAGAAGGAUUAAGUUUUACCCAAGAAGGAAAAAAAAAAUAGUUGUCUGUUAACAAGGGAAGACUAAUGUUCUCCAUGGAAAAAAACGAGUAUACCCACAGCUUUGUCAUGCUGGUUAACAUGGCAAUGGCUUUGAAGCUUAAAUGAGGAACAUCCUUUCUAUUAUGACCCAUCUUAUUUCCAGAUGAUUAAUAGUGUCACACCAUAACGAUGGUAAAUUACUAAGAGAAUGCGGGAGUAGGUUUGGGAGUACACUAUAAAAAUUCAAUGGCAGUAACUAUAAAACAGUUGAUCAAACUUUGUAAAAUGACAUGGCUGCUUUAUAAAGAAUGGUAAAAAUAUGCCUUUGAGGUCUUUCUUCAUUGAGAGUCCUAGCAAUCUUUCCCAUGAGUGAACUAAUUGGUAUAUUUGCAACUGACUGAAGUUACAUAGCAAUAUUAAAUAGAUGUUAAAUAUUUUAUGAGCAUUCAGAACCCACCACCGCCAAUGAACAACUCUUCCAAGCAUGUGCUGUGCAGCAGCAGUGAGAGGGCAGCUCCUGCAGCCACUGGCUGGACCUCUUAGUGCUAAAAUCUGAGCUGAGUCACACAUUUCAUGGUCAGUCCUUACUGUUUAAAAUCAGAACUGAAGUUCCCAACGUGGUUCAGAGGAAACGAAUCUGACUAGUAUCCAUGAGGAUGCAGGUUCAAUCCCUGGCCUCACUCAGUGGGUUAAGGAUCUGGCAUUGCCUUGAGCUGUGGUGUAGACCACAGAUGCAGCUCGGAUCUGGCGUUGCUGUGGCUGUGAUGUAGGCCAGUGGCUACAGCUCUGAUUUGACCCCUAGCCUGGGAACCUCCAUAUGCUUCAGGUGCAGCCCUAAAAAAGACAAAAAUAAAUAAAUAAAAUAAGAAAUCAGCUUUCUCAACCCACCAGAGAUGAUCAGUUUUUUAGUACGCAACUUGUGCAUCAAAUCAUUUAACACAUGAUUCAGAAAGCAAGGCACAGUGGAUGAGAGAAGAGUCAGGAGCCAGCAGCCAGGUGUGAACCUCCCUUAGCUCUCCCACCUGGGCACUGGGCUUAACCACUGUGUGACUCAGCUUCAUAAUCAGUCAAAUGGAGCCAAUAAUAAUUCUAAUCUCACAGAAUUGUGAUGAGAAUUUAAAAUGUUAGUCAUCAGAAAGCCUUUAGGACAGUGCCUGACACUGUAGUAAGCACUAUGUGGUUGCUGAAUAUACACAUGAAAUUCAUUGAUUUAUUCCCGCAGUAUUUAUUAUGUGCCUACCAAACAGCAGGUGUCAUGAAUUGCUCAAGAUUGAUAAGUUACCUGCCCUCAUGGAACUUACAUUCUGGCUGGAGAAGCGAGACAGUGAGAAAGUAAACAAACAGACAAGAUGAUUACAGAUGCUGAACAUUUCUGUGAAGAAAAUAAACUUCAAAAUAGAUGAUAAAAUGAGAAGAUUUGAGGUGGGGAGAUAGGGAGCAGUCACUGGUCAGAAAAAUCUCUCUUUAAUAUCUAUGAGAAGUUUCCAGCAUGUGAAACCCAGAGAGGAGAGCCAGGAAGAUGAGAGAAGGUAAUCUGGUGUGAAUGGAGCUUAGUUAGGCAGAAAGGGAAUUAUAAGAGGUCAGAGAGUCAGACAAGGAGUGAUGAUCUAGAACAUGCUAAGGAGUUCAGAUUUUGUUUUUAAUUUUAAAGAAAACUUGUUUCUACUAUGGGUCUUCUGGUUCCAAGUAAUACAUUUUAC
rnacentral:lncRNA from 1 species